rnacentral:lncRNA from 1 species
CCACAGACAACAGCAUUUUUGGGCUUUGUUGUGCACGAAAUCCAAAGCCUACACGAUGGGCUUCUCUCAUCUGACAGGCCCGCCUUCCAUCAGCCUCAAGCAACUAAUUGGGCUUGUCCCCCUUAUUUUCCCUCGGCCCGUGUUGCAGCAGCAAGCCUGCUGGUUUACUUAUUGUCGCAUAUCGAGCCCUUGUCUAAAAUAAUGGGCCUAUCCUAUUAGUCUGCAGCUGCAUUGAUGAGCC